rnacentral:rRNA from 1 species
CUGCCUGAUGGAGGGGGAUAACUACUGGAAACGGUAGCUAAUACCGCAUAACGUCGCAAGACCAAAGAGGGGGACCUUCGGGCCUCUUGCCAUCGGAUGUGCCCAGAUGGGAUUAGCUAGUAGGUGGGGUAACGGCUCACCUAGGCGACGAUCCCUAGCUGGUCUGAGAGGAUGACCAGCCACACUGGAACUGAGACACGGUCCAGACUCCUACGGGAGGCAGCAGUGGGGAAUAUUGCACAAUGGGCGCAAGCCUGAUGCAGCCAUGCCGCGUGUAUGAAGAAGGCCUUCGGGUUGUAAAGUACUUUCAGCGGGGAGGAAGGGAGUAAAGUUAAUACCUUUGCUCAUUGACGUUACCCGCAGAAGAAGCACCGGCUAACUCCGUGCCAGCAGCCGCGGUAAUACGGAGGGUGCAAGCGUUAAUCGGAAUUACUGGGCGUAAAGCGCACGCAGGCGGUUUGUUAAGUCAGA